UCCAACUUGUUCAUAAAUGGUACAAAUACUCCGUUAAGGCCGACCAAAAAGAGUUCUUCUCCCGUCUCCAUCCGUUUUGUUCCGCCUCAGUUCUUCUUCCCCGUUUCUCCUUUCGUCCCUCCCCUCCAACUCUGAUUGGUUCAAAAUGUGGCGAUUGCCCGCGCUCCUCUCUUGAUUGACACCUGUCUACUCCUGUUAACAACCGCAGGGCUCUCAAGUCUCACGCAUUCAGCGUGUGAUACACGCAUUCCCACCCGUUCACACGCUCACACGCCACACAUUGUAUUUCUCACGCAUUUAAAUGAACAUGGUGAUGUCCACCAAGUUGCACCUCUUUAACUAUGGAACAGGUUGGAAUCAACUGAGUUCCUCCGAGAGUUCAGAAGCUGCGUGCCACGCCAAGCCAAUCAAAUAAAGUAUAUCUACUGAACAGCCAAUAAAAAAGCAGCAUUGCUGUAUCCGGGUAGAUUUUGAUAUCUUACGGUUUGACUACAGAAGAAGACAGACACUCGCCGAAAUAGAGCAGGUUUUUAUAAGGACGAGAUAGACCCGAUGAUUACAGUAAGUCAGUAACCUACACAUGCAGAGACCUCAACACCUCAUGGCAUACAAACUCAUAUGAUAAACUAAAGCCCUAUGCUUUUGCUAUUAACAGCUGUAUUGAAGGAUUUAGCCUCUGUACAGCCAUUUCCGGCCAUUUUCCCCUCCACAAAAGCAGCAUUUCUCAUAUAGCUCAAAUAUAAGUUCUGAUACUCAUGACAGUAUAAUGCUCAUGUACCAAAGGAUUAAGUAUCUCCAUGUUUGUGAAACCUAUACUAAAGUAAAAUUCAUCUAAAUGCUCCACAGUGCUGAUUUUAACAACUCUCCUUCACAGCAGGUAACUUUACGACUUAAUACUUAUAUAUUAAUGACUUUAUUCUCCCAAAUAAUAACUUUAUUCUUUAAGAUUUAAAAACGUUUUUUUUUCUAAUUGUGCCCCUUAUACUCCGUUGUAUUUAAGAGAUAAUUAUACUAAUAAUUAUCUUCAAUCACCCCCCCAAGGAAAUCUCACUCUAAGCUUAGUUCAAAACUUGAGAGCCCUGCAACCGUGAACAGUCCAUGAUAGGUUCAAAAUCAACACAAAAUCAGACGAUUCACAGUAUUUUACAAAUUUUCAAUGUUUACAUCGUUAAUUGUGGGAUAUAGAAAAGGGAAUGGGGUUUGUACCCUGUUUUCACCCUAAAAAAAAAGCACUACAAAUUUUUUACAUGAAAAACAGGGAAAACAGGAACAAAUUAUUUAAGUGUUGACAUCAGUGUUGAAUGUCGAACCCUGUUAGUCUAAAUGAGCUCUCGUCUUUAUACAAUAACCUCAAGAAAUUGAUGUUUUGUGUCCUGUUUAAGCAACGAUGAAUU